AAGUCGUAACAAGUCUCCGUAGGUGAACCCUGCGGAGGGAUCAUUACAAGUGACCCCCGGUUUACACCGGGAUGUUCAUAACCCGUUUGUUGUCCGACUCUGUUGCCUCCGGGGCGACCCUGCCUUCGGCGGGGGGCUCCGGGUGGACACUUCAAACUCUUGCGUAACUUUGCAGUCUGAGUAAAUUUAAUUAAUACAUUAAAACUUUCAACAACGGAUCUCUUGGUUCUGGCAUCGAUGAAGAACGCAGCGAAAUGCGAUACAGUAAUGUGAAUUGCAGAAUUCAGUGAAUCAUCGAAUCUUUGAACGCACAUUGCGCCCCUGGUAUUCCGGGGGGCAUGCCUGUUCGAGCGUCAUUUCACCACUCAAGCCUCGCUUGGUGAUUGGGCGACGCGGUCCGCCGCGCGCCUCAAAUCGACCGGCUGGUCUUCUGUCCCCUCAGCGUUGUGGAAACUAUUCCGCUAAAGGUGCUUCGGAGCUACGCCUGAAAACAACACCCAUUUCUAAGGUGACCUCGGAUCAGGUAUGGGAUACCCGCUGAACUAA
rnacentral:rRNA from 1 species